rnacentral:rRNA from 1 species
CCUACGGGAGGCAGCAGUGAGGAAUAUUGGUCAAUGGACGCAAGCCUGAACCAGCCAUGCCGCGUGCAGGAUGACGGCCCUAUGAGUUGUAAACUGCUUUUGUACAAGAGUAAACUUGAGUACGUGUGUUUUGCUGUAUGUACUGUAUGAAUAAGGAUCGGCUAACUCCGUGCCAGCAGCCGCGGUAAUACGGAGGAUCCGAGCGUUAUCCGGAUUUAUUGGGUUUAAAGGGAGCGUAGGUGGAUUGAUAAGUCAGUUGUGAAAUGUCCGGGCUCAACUCGGGAAUUGCAUCUAAUACUGGGAGUCUAGAGUGUAGAUGCGGUAGGCGGAAUGCAUGGUGUAGCGGUGAAAUGCUUAGAGAUCAGGCAGAACACCGAUUGCGAAGGCAGCUUACUAAACUGCAACUGACGUUGAGGCGCGAAAGCGUGGGGAGCAAACAGGAUUAGAUACCCGAGUAGUC